GCUGUACCGGGAGCCCGGGAGAAAAACGAUCGUGUUCUUUAGUGACGAUCGCCCUUUGAAUGUUUUCGUAACGCGAAACAAUAUCGCGGUUGACGCCCUUUUCAUCGAACACGAUCGAGUCUCAAGUCUCAAGCGAUUAUAGAGCAAUCUCAUACUUGUAGAUUGAUAACAGUACGAUUGCAAUAACAAUCUUGCAUAAGAAGCGCACGUGAACGAUUUUUCUCAUUUUUUCCCAUCAUUUGCGUUAUCGUUCACUGAUAAUGGGACCUUAAUGUGUCAAAUUUUCUUCAUGGAUUUAUGAUAAAAUAUUUUUUUUUUCUGUCGCUGAGAAUUGCGGGACGAAACUCUAUCAACUUCAUUGAUUCGGCAUUGAAGAUUAUAACGAUAAUAUAUACGUCCGCAUAUAUUACGAAAUAUUAAUAUUAAUCACGUCAUAAAUAAGGUAGACGAGGUUAAAAAAUGUGUCAAAGGGGAAUUCGAUAUGCGAGAAAAAAAAUAUUUGACGUCAUUUAGGGCCUAUCCAGAUAAAGCUUGCGUGACGUAUAUGCAUAGAGAGAUCAAACUUUUCGCGUUGGUUUCAUUUUCAAACGGACCAAUCGCCGUGACUUCACGGUUGAAGGAAGAGCCAAUCGAAACGCCGGACAAAUUAUCCAAGCGGUUUAACAUGCGGCGUAAAAAUGCGACAAUUAAACACUCUUUAAUUUUUUAUUCAUUGGCAAAAAUUCAAGUUUGAAUCGUAUAACGUCAAAGGCACGCAUAAUGGAUCGAGUAAUCUUAUCGGGACGCUACACGAACACUGUAAAUAAGAAAUACCAUUGGAAUGUGCCAGAACGCCAUUGUUACUGAAAGCAUACUCGUAUAUCUUCGGGCAAUGCUGUUUAACGGUCAUUCUGUAAAUUGCCACAGCGUCCGUUUUAAUGUUCCGGUUGUGAUCUGUCCACAAAUGAAUCGUCGUUGCGUUUUUCAUUAUCU